AUUGAACGCUGGCGGCAGGCCUAACACAUGCAAGUCGAGCGGAUGAAGGGAGCUUGCUCCUGGAUUCAGCGGCGGACGGGUGAGUAAUGCCUAGGAAUCUGCCUGGUAGUGGGGGAUAACGUCCGGAAACGGGCGCUAAUGCCGCAUACGUCCUGAGGGAGAAAGUGGGGGAUCUUCGGACCUCACGCUAUCAGAUGAGCCUAGGUCGGAUUAGCUAGUUGGUGGGGUAAAGGCCUACCAAGGCGACGAUCCGUAACUGAUCUGAGAGGAUGAUCAGUCACACUGGAACUGAGACACGGUCCAGACUCCUACGGGAGGCAGCAGUGGGGAAUAUUGGACAAUGGGCGAAAGCCUGAUCCAGCCAUGCCGCGUGUGUGAAGAAGGUCUUCGGAUUGUAAAGCACUUUAAGUUGGGAGGAAGGGCAGUAAGUUAAUACCUUGCUGUUUUGACGUUACCAACAGAAUAAGCACCGGCUAACUUCGUG
rnacentral:rRNA from 1 species